AAGAGGGGAGAUUCGCCCCAGAACGCUAAGGAAGUGGAUGUAAGAAGACAAGGAGAGGAAAUUGGCCACGUCUGCCACCCUCAUCACACCGAUAAAGACAGCUCACCGGCUGGGACUCCUAAGAUCUACCCCAGGCCAGGGAAGGGAGGCAGGAAAGGAAAGACCACACUGCACAUUUGCGAGAUUUAGAUUUCUAAUCUUAGGAGCACACAGAGGUCAGAGAACAGCACAUAUCCCCCGGAACUGAAGUGAUGAGGAGUUGUAAGUAGCCAAAGAAACCAUGCCUGGGUCCUCUGCAAUGGUAGGGUAUGCUUCUAGCUCACGAGCC
rnacentral:sRNA from 1 species